CCUUGAAUGUCUCUGGAAACUCUUCUAAUACAACUGCUACCACAAGCAGUUCUUUGCCUUCCAUGUUUCCUGGAGGAAGUACUCCUCCUCUUUCUCCCAGGAGUACAUCUGGUUCCCCUCGUAUAACGAAACAGAGAGCUGGCCCUUCUAAUUUAGGUUCUCCUCUAAAAGUAGUUAGUGAGCCAGUGAAGGAGUUGAUACCGCAGUUUUACUUUCUAAAUGGCCGUCCACCUCCAAAUGAACUAAGGGAACAAUGUUUGCUUCGGAUCAAUCACUUUUUCUAUGGUCGCUUAGAUGGGCUGCAGUUACAUGAAUUCAAAUCUGUCACCAAGGA
rnacentral:misc_RNA from 1 species